rnacentral:rRNA from 1 species
UGCGUAGGUGGAUUGGUAAGUCAGUGGUGAAAUCUCCGGGCUUAACUCGGAAACUGCCAUUGAUACUAUCAGUCUUGAAUACCGUGGAGGCCAGUAGAAUAUGUCAUGUAGCGGUGAAAUGCUUAGAUAUGACAUAGAAUACCAAUUGCGAAGGCAGCUGGCUACGCGGAAUAUUGACAUCAGGCACGAAAGCGUGGGAUCAAACA